AAAUCUUGACAUCCUUUGAAAACUCUAGAGAUAGAGCUUUCCCCUUCGGGGGACAAAGUGACAGGUGGUGCAUGGUUGUCGUCAGCUCGUGUCGUGAGAUGUUGGGUUAAGUCCCGCAACGAGCGCAACCCUUAAGCUUAGUUGCCAUCAUUAAGUUGGGCACUCUAGGUUGACUGCCGGUGACAAACCGGAGGAAGGUGGGGAUGACGUCAAAUCAUCAUGCCCCUUAUGAUUUGGGCUACACACGUGCUACAAUGGACAAUACAAAGGGCAGCUAAACCGCGAGGUCAUGCAAAUCCCAUAAAGUUGUUCUCAGUUCGGAUUGUAGUCUGCAACUCGACUACAUGAAGCUGGAAUCGCUAGUAAUCGUAGAUCAGCAUGCUACGGUGAAUACGUUCCCGGGUCUUGUACACACCGCCCGUCACACCACGAGAGUUUGUAACACCCGAAGCCGGUGGAGUAACCAUUUAUGGAGCUAGCCGUCGAAGGUGGGACAAAUGAUUGGGGUGAAGUCGUAACAAGGUAGCCGUAUCGGAAGGUGCGGCUGGAUCACCUC
rnacentral:rRNA from 1 species